AUAGGCACCAAAAUAUUUUAAGUUGUAAUUUAGAUGUCUUUGGGGGACCUGUGCCUCCUGCAUCUGGGUACCCAUCCUCAAUUCACAUGGUUCCCAUCAUCUGGGAGCUGAUGGUCCAGAUGAUGACUUUGCUCCUUGAAAGGCUGACAGAGGCCACUGUAAGGUUGCCUGUGUCCUGCACAGACCAAGGUCCCAUAGGGAUGCAAGAAUGGAGGAGCCGAAUUGUAGAGAACCUGGGGCAGCCUGGGUAGAGAAGUUCUUUUAUGAAAUGUAGGUUCACAAAAAGGUUGAAUACUUGAUAUCAUCUCAAGUCUUCCCAUUCACUGGGCAACUUGUUUGUUUGAGUUUAUUUUUGUGGAUUGUUUUGUUUCAUUUUGUUUUGCUUUUGAGACAAACUCACUAUUUAGCUGAGAAUGGCUCUGAACUCCUGAUCCUUUUUUUCCUCUUGAGUGAUGGGAUUAUAUACAAAUGCCACCACAAUGAGGUAACUUGUUUUUUAAUAUUCAGACUAACUUGGUUGAGCCUGGUAGGACAGACCCAUGACCCCAGUACUGAGGGUGCAGAGCUGACAAAUGGGAGCUCCAGGCCAGUCUGAGUCUUACACAGCAAGACUGUCUCUAAAACAAAAAUCUUUUUAAAAUGAGUUUGAGAUUAUAAU
rnacentral:lncRNA from 1 species